rnacentral:rRNA from 1 species
UACGUAGGGCGCGAGCGUUGUCCGGAAUUAUUGGGCGUAAAGGGCUCGUAGGCGGUUUGUCGCGUCGGGAGUGAAAACACGGGGCUUAACCCCGUGCCUGCUUCCGAUACGGGCAGACUAGAGGUAUGCAGGGGAGAACGGAAUUCCUGGUGUAGCGGUGAAAUGCGCAGAUAUCAGGAGGAACACCGGUGGCGAAGGCGGUUCUCUGGGCAUUACCUGACGCUGAGGAGCGAAAGUGUGGGGAGCGAACAGG